rnacentral:rRNA from 1 species
GAUGAACGCUGGCGGCGUGCCUAAUACAUGCAAGUCGAGCGAACGGACGAGAAGCUUGCUUCUCUGAUGUUAGCGGCGGACGGGUGAGUAACACGUGGAUAACCUACCUAUAAGACUGGGAUAAUUUCUGGAAACCGGAGCUAAUACCGGAUAAUAUUUUGAACCGCAUGGUUCAAAAGUGAAAGACGGUCUUGCUGUCACUUAUAGAUGGAUCCGCGCUGCAUUAGCUAGUUGGUAAGGUAACGGCUUACCAAGGCAACGAUGCAUAGCCGACCUGAGAGGGUGAUCGGCCACACUGGAACUGAGACACGGUCCAGACUCCUACGGGAGGCAGCAGUAGGGAAUCUUCCGCAAUGGGCGAAAGCCUGACGGAGCAACGCCGCGUGAGUGAUGAAGGUCUUCGGAUCGUAAAACUCUGUUAUUAGGGAAGAACAUAUGUGUAAGUAACUGUGCACAUCUUGACGGUACCUAAUCAGAAAGCCACGGCUAACUACGUG